rnacentral:misc_RNA from 1 species
UCUUCAUCGAAGGAGUUCUGAACCCUGAAAUUUUCAUUUUCAGUGCCUGUUCAUUACUCUGUAAGGCUAUUUUCUUUGUUCAGUUUCAUUCUCACCGCCCUAAUAUAAGUACAUUACUCUCCAAAGUUCAACUUUAUUCCGACCUGGUUCUCGCUACCUCGGGUAAGUAUUAGUCUUUUGGCCAUCAACUUUCACCUUUACAAGAUUUGUAGACACCAGAGUUAGCUCAUUAGUCUUCUCAACUUCUCACAGGUAAGUGUCUAGACUGUCAUUUUGUCGAAUACUCGUGCUUUAUUUUCUCCAUUUUUAUUCUUAAAAUUUCUUUUAUAUUCAGUCGCACUAAAAUCUCAAAGUAGAUUAUCCAGGCCAAUAGUUAUUUCCCGGGUCUUCUUUUUCUAUUCAUUCGUAAACUCUAUUUAUCUCCUCUUAGUUUUCAUUUCCUUCAAGAAUAGACGUUCAGGUCGUGGGCAACUUGUAGAUAAUCUAAAAGAUAUUGGUAGAAGUAUCUUAACAUGAAAGCUUCGAGCCUGAAUGAAUAAAAAGUGACAAAAGAUAGGCGUAGCAAAAGGUCGAAUACAUCAGAAAUAAGAAUAGAUCAAAUAAACAGGUUAUAAGAUCGGGCCUCAGAAUGAAAACUAGGCAAAAAUACAAUAGAUCGGGAAUUAAGAUGAGAUCGGAUCAUAAUCAACAAUUAUAAUGAAACUAUAUAUAUGUAACAAUUUCAUUAUAUAAUUUUUUCUUCUCAUGAUGAUGUAAAAUUCAGUUUAAAUAAAAAAAUAACUUUAU